rnacentral:ncRNA from 1 species
AAAACUAUUUAGGGAGAAAAUUUAUAUUUACGUAUUAUAAAUAUAAAUCGCGUGUAUGUCAAAAGGGAAACAGCCCAGAACAAGAGUUAAGGUUCCAAAAUUUAUAGUUGAGUGAAAUUAAGAAAGUUUCUAUUUAAGCCGACAAGGAGAUGGGCUUAGAAGCAGCCAUAAUUUAAUGAUCUCGUAAAAGAGCACUUGUUAAAUCUUUAGAAGCAUCGAAAAUUCAACGGAUCUAAACUAUAUACCGACACCUUGUCCAUUUAUAUUAUUAUAUCAUUAUAAUUGUAUAGUAAGGGGUA